UACGUAGGGGGCAAGCGUUGUCCGGAAUUAUUGGGCGUAAAGAGCGUGUAGGCGGCCCGGUAAGUCCGCUGUGAAAGUCGGGGGCUCAACCCUCGAAUGCCGGUGGAUACUGUCGGGCUAGAGUGCGGAAGAGGCGAGUGGAAUUCCUGGUGUAGCGGUGAAAUGCGCAGAUAUCAGGAGGAACACCAAUUGCGAAGGCAGCUCGCUGGGACGUAACUGACGCUGAGACGCGAAAGCGUGGGGAGCAAACAGG
rnacentral:rRNA from 1 species